GGUUGGCAUGAAUAGCCAAACUAUUCCGGGAUGAUUAGGUGAUAAGCAGCUAUUCAUUAGUUUGGUUCACCGAAUCCUCCAUUCGACAGGAUUUCAUUCAUCUCCCAUUCCGUCUUCUCCCGUAAUAGCCAUUCCCCACCUGAUCUAAAGAAUAGCAAUACUGAGCCUCCAUCAGAUAAGAAAAAAAACAUAACCUCACAUUCUUGCCCUUUACCACUCUCCCUCAGCAAACUCCUCAAGCCACCACACCCCAACCGUGUCUCCUAGUUCUCGUUUAGUUAUUCUCAUCCCACGACCAUCAUCGACAGAGAUCUCGACAUUAUAAAGCUUCCCCAAAGUUGAGACGAGUAAGGCUCACAUUCUCAAACUUGUGAUACUUUGGAGGACAACAGUGGUGGUCAAUCAUGUAUGCUCAGCCCAUCAGAAGACAAUAUCAUGGACACUGUGGGAGUCAUUUGUUUUAACACUGAAGGAAAUAUAGCAUCAAGAGCCUCCAGCGGUGAAGGUCUCCGGUCGUGUGAGAUUAGCAACAAUGUACGGUGCAGGCUGUUAGGCCUCCUCAUGAGGACCUUUUGGGGCUCCUUUCAUAAUUGGUUGUUGUGUUAGCAGUGCUGGAGAACACUAAUGAAAGGAUUUGCAGCUCGGGAGUGUUGUGUCUCAUCGUCACUGUUCCAGGAAAUCCUCCAAAACUGAAAGCUAUAUAGAAAUUGCAGCUGCGUACUCAUCCUUGUCUUUUGGGAUAGGAUAUUUUAGAAGUGGCAUGGAACGGCCUAAGAGAUUUAAAUAGCGGUUUGAUAUCGCUAUAGCGGUCGUUAUAUAGCGGUAGCAGCAUCGUCCGAAACCGCUACCGCGAUUAACAGCUAUUAUGUUUUAAAAUAAGUUGUGUGAAUUUUAAAAAAAAUUCACGACCGCGAUACCCGCAGUGACCGCAAUAGCAUUCGUUAUCUCCGCAACCGCGAUAAACGCAACGCGACCGAAAAUGCAGCUGCGACCGCAAUUUAAAUCCCUGGUUAUGAAGUUCCAUUUAUUUCUGGCAAUGCUUUGACAGCCAUUAGAGAUGAAAAGAAUUAUGUACUCUCCAUCUGUUGUUUAUGCUUGUUUUUUUUUCUUGAUUUAGGUUUCUAUUCUUAGAAAAAGUAAACAGCAGAAUAGAAGUGGAAUCGAUCAUUUUGAAGCUCAAGUUGAUGUUUCUACAUGACUGAUUUUUGUUUAACCUAUUUUUUCAAGGAUAAAUUACCAUAUCAAAUCAAAA